rnacentral:rRNA from 1 species
GAACGACUCUCGGCAACGGAUAUCUCGGCUCUUGCAUCGAUGAAGAACGUAGCGAAAUGCGAUACUUGGUGUGAAUUGCAGAAUCCCGUGAACCAUCGAGUCUUUGAACGCAAGUUGCGCCUGAAGCCAUUAGGCUGAAGGCACGUCUGCCUGGGCGUCA